rnacentral:rRNA from 1 species
CCUUCGGGUUGUAAACCUCUGUCACCGGGGAAGAAACGCUUCAAGUUAAUUAGUUUGAAGCCUGACUUAACCCGGAGAGGAAGCAGUGGCUAACUCUGUGC